GGGCUCGCGGCCUAUCAGCUAGUUGGUGUGGUAACGGCGCACCAAGGCGACGACGGGUAGCUGGUCUGAGAGGAUGGCCAGCCACAUUGGGACUGAGAGACGGCCCAGACUCCUACGGGAGGCAGCAGUGGGGAAUCUUGCGCAAUGGGCGAAAGCCUGACGCAGCGACGCCGCGUGGAGGAUGAGGCCCUUCGGGGUGUAAACUCCUGUUGCCCGGGACGAACGCUGGGGGGUGCCCCAGGUGACGGUACCGGGUGAGGAAGCACCGGCUAACUCUGUGCCAGCAGCCGCGGUAAUACAGAGGGUGCGAGCGUUGUCCGGAAUUACUGGGCGUAAAGGGCGCGUAGGCGGUCCGUCACGCGUGCCGUGAAAGCCCGGGGCUCAACCCCGGGUCGGCGGUGCGAACGGGGGGACUGGAGCACACCAGAGGCAAGUGGGACUCCGGGUGUAGCGGUGGAAUGCGUAGAGAUCCGGAAGAACACCGGUGGCGAAGGCGGCUUGCUGGGGUGUGGCUGACGCUGAGGCGCGACAGCGUGGGGAGCAAACAGGAUUAGAUACCCUGGUAGUCCACGCCGUAAACGAUGGGCACUAGGUGCCUGGGGGAGCGACCCCCUGGGUGCCGGCGCUAACGCAUUAAGUGCCCCGCCUGGGGAGUACGGCCGCAAGGCUGGAACUCAAAGGAAUUGACGGGGGCCCGCACAAGCGGUGGAGCAUGUGGUUUAAUUCGACGCAACGCGAAGAACUUAC
rnacentral:rRNA from 1 species